UGCACUGCAUGGUAUCUGCACCCAGCAGCUUACUCCUGCUGGGGUGUUCCAAGGUCAGUGCCAUAGAAAUUCAGUAUUUGGCAUGUUGGUUUUCUUGGCUUUGUGCAUGUUAAACCUGGUGUUUCUAUUGAUACAGUA
ensembl:snoRNA